rnacentral:rRNA from 1 species
GUUAGGAAUAUUGGACAAUGGGCGAAAGCCUGAUCCAGCCAUGCCGCGUGAACGAUGAAGGCCUUCGGGUUGUAAAGUUCUUUAGCCGAUGAUUAUAAUGACUGUAGUCGGAAAAUAAGCCCCGGCUAACUUCGUGCCAGCAGCCGCGGUAAUACGAAGGGGGCGAGCGUUAUUCGGAAUCACUGGGCGUAAAGCGUGCGUAGGCGGUUUUGUAAGUUAGGAGUGAAAGCCCAGGGCUCAACCUUGGAAUUGCUCUUAAAACUGCAAGGCUCGAAUCUCGGAGAGGAUAGCGGAAUUUCCAGUGUAGCAGUGAAAUGCAUAGAUAUUGGAAGGAACACCAGUGGCGUAAGCGGCUAUCUGGACGAGUAUUGACGCUGAGGCACGAAAGCGUGGGGAUCAAACAGGAUUAGAUACCCGUGUAGUCC